UAAAAUUCAAAGGAAUUGACGGGGGCCCGCACAAGCGGCGGAGCAUGUGGCUUAAUUCGACGCAACGCGAAGAACCUUACCAAGGCUUGACAUACACCGGAAAGCAUCAGAGAUGGUGCCCCCCUUGUGGUCGGUGUACAGGUGGUGCAUGGCUGUCGUCAGCUCGUGUCGUGAGAUGUUGGGUUAAGUCCCGCAACGAGCGCAACCCUUGUCCCGUGUUGCCAGCAGGCCCUUGUGGUGCUGGGGACUCACGGGAGACCGCCGGGGUCAACUCGGAGGAAGGUGGGGACGACGUCAAGUCAUCAUGCCCCUUAUGUCUUGGGCUGCACACGUGCUACAAUGGCCGGUACAAUGAGCUGCGAUACCGCGAGGUGGAGCGAAUCUCAAAAAGCCGGUCUCAGUUCGGAUUGGGGUCUGCAACUCGACCCCAUGAAGUCGGAGUCGCUAGUAAUCGCAGAUCAGCAUUGCUGCGGUGAAUACGUUCCCGGGCCUUGUACACACCGCCCGUCACGUCACGAAAGUCGGUAACACCCGAAGCCGGUGGCCCAACCCCUUGUGGGAGGGAGCUGUCGAAGGUGGGACUGGCGAUUGGGACG
rnacentral:rRNA from 1 species